AAAACAGAAGCAAAUUUUCUUUUAGUUAAAUCAUAAUUCUAAGAAAAAUAAAAUAACCAAAGUCUUGCCGCAUUUGUUAAAUAUGAGUUUGGGAUAUAGCUUGUGAUAUAUCCUUUUGCUGGAUAUUUAAGGGAGAGCAUGCACUCUGCUGUCGCGCUCCGCUCGGCUAUAAAGCCAAACAAUGCGCUUUUAUAAGCAGUUAGGAGAUGUUUGUACUUGGUGGCCGUCUGAAGACCAAACUUCAAGACUUUCAAACUUCAUGACCAACUCAAUCCUCCCCUCUCUCUCUUACUCUCUCUCGCUCUGUUGCAAGGCCAUAAAAAGAGAAAGAGAGUAAAAAAUAUGAUACAAAAUACAGUUCAUGUGCAGCGCGUCGA